rnacentral:rRNA from 1 species
CCUACGGGAGGCAGCAGUGAGGAAUAUUGGUCAAUGGCCGUAAGGCUGAACCAGCCAAGUCGCGUGAAGGAAGAAGGAUCUAUGGUUUGUAAACUUCUUUUAUAGGGGAAUAAAGGUAUCCACGUGUGGAUAUUUGCAUGUACCCUAUGAAUAAGCAUCGGCUAACUCCGUGCCAGCAGCCGCGGUAAUACGGAGGAUGUGAGCGUUAUCCGGAUUUAUUGGGUUUAAAGGGUGCGUAGGUUGUUUUUUAAGUCAGCGGGGAAAGUUUGUGGCUCAACCAUAAAAUUGCCGUUGAAACUGGAAGACUUGAGUGUGUUUGAGGUAGGCGGAAUGCGUGGUGUAGCGGUGAAAUGCAUAGAUAUCACGCAGAACUCCGAUUGCGAAGGCAGCUUACUAAGCCAUAACUGACACUGAAGCACGAAAGCGUGGGGAUCAAACAGGAUUAGAUACCCCAGUAGUC